AGGGGGUUCAAUGCUAAACUCUUUGUAUGACACGUUGGAAAAUGGGAUCAGGAACCAAGAGAGUCCUAAAAAUUGGGAUACCCGUGCAUCUUUAGAAGCUCGAGUGGAAUCGUUUUGCAGGGCUACCAAUCAACUCUUCCCUCCUAUACUUUCAUCUCAAGUUUUUUGUGAAUUUUUUUGUGAUUUACAUUUGAGUAAUGAUUGUCCAUUGUGCAGUGAUUUUACUCAUUGUUCUUAUAACUGUGAACAGGUGAAUUAUACGGGAAGUUGGCCAAAUGACUCGUAUGGGAGCAGCUACAAUCAAGAGUGGAGCACUCAUUCACCCUUUGGAUGGAGCUUAGAUGGCCAAGAACCACCAGGAUCUCAGCAACCACAUCAGCAGCCUAAUCUUGCACCUUCAACUCAAGAUGAAAAGUUAGUGUUAGAGGAGCUGAUAUGAGGUUCUUUACAAGUCUUGAGGAUAGAUUCCAACAAACAAAGAGGGUACUCGAAGGUCAACAAGCCUCGAUUGAGAACAUAGAGCAUCAAGUAGGCUUGAUCUUCAAGUUACUAGCUGAAGAGCAAUUGGGAACUCCAUCAAACGCUACUGAAUCCGAGCUUCUACCGAGGACGCACUGAAUUUCCACUACACCAACCUCGGCGGACGAUUAGAGCAGUCCCUUAGAUUUUCUUUUUAUUUUUUGCAUUUAUUUACUUUAUUUCUUAUGUACAUGUCAUGCAUUUGGAUUGCAUUGCCUUUGUUUCUCUUUGAUGAGCAUUACCAUGCGGGGUAUCCAUAACAUGUUACACUGAGGACAGUGUGUCCUUCAAGUGUGGGGUGGGUGAUAUUUAUAUACACUUGUUUUUUUGUA